UUUAAAAGGAUCCAAUGGAUGCGAUGGAUCCAAAGGAUCCGAUGGAUAAACUAUUUAUCCAUCGCAUCCUUUGGAUCCAUCAGAUCCUUUGGAUCCAUCGCAUCCAUUGGAUCCUUUUAA
rnacentral:tRNA from 1 species